rnacentral:rRNA from 1 species
AAUCCUUUAACGAGGAACUAUUGGAGGGCCAGUCUGGUGCCAGCAGCCGCGGUAAUUCCAGCUCCAAUAGCGUAUAUUAAAGUUGUUGCGUCUAAAAAGCUCGUAGUUUGAAAACUUGCCUUGGCUUACAACAGACGUCUAAGGGCGUCACCGUUUGUCGAGAGCAAAUAUGGGUGACUGUUCUUGCCUUCUUCACUGAUUGGCUCGUAAAAGUCAUCGAAGAUCACUUUGAUUAAAUUAGGGUGCUCAAAGCAAGUGUGCUACUUGAAUAUGAAUGCAUGGAAUGAUGGAAUAUGUUGUUGUUCUAUUUGUUGGUUUUUUGAAUGACGAAAUGAUUGAAAGGAACUGUUGGGGGCAUUCGUAUUGUUGUGAGAGAGGUGAAAUUCUUAGACCAUAGCAAGACGAACUACUGCGAAAGCAUUUGCCAAGAAUGUUUUCAUUGAUCAAGAACGAAAGUUAGAGGUUCGAAGGCGAUCAGAUACCGCCCUAGUUCUAACCAUAAACUAUGCCGACUAGCAAUUUGCUUUGUAUUUUUAUGACUAAGUGAGAGGCCACGGGAAACCAAAGUAGGGUUAUGGGGGAAGUAUGGUUGCAAAGCUGAAACUUAAAGGAAUUGACGGAAGGGCACCACCAGGAGUGGAGCCUGCGGCUUAAUUUGACCCAACACGGGAAAACUUACCUGGUCCUGACACUAGAAGGAUUGACAGAUUGAUAGCUCUUUCUUGAUUUGGUGGAUGGUGGUGCAUGGCCGUUCUUAGUUGGUGGAGUGAUUUGUCUGGUUAAUUCCGAUAACGAACGAGACUCUAGCCUAUUAAAUAAUAUGCGGAAUCAAUUUCUCCCGCGUUAUUUCUUAAUGGGAUCAAGCGUGUUUAACGCUUUGAAACAGAGCAAUAACAGGUCUGUGAUGCCCUUAGAUGUUCGGGGCUGCACGCGCGCUACAUUGAAGAACAAAGUGAGCCCUCUGGCUUUUAACAAAGCUAGAAAUCUUUUAAUGUUCUUCUUAAUGGGGAUAGGGGAUUGCAAUUGUGCCCCUUGAACGAGGAAUUCCCAGUAAGUGCUAGUCAUUAGCUAGUACUGAUUACGUCCCUGCCCUUUGUACACACCGCCCGUCGCUACUACCGAUUGAAUAGUUUAGUGAGAUCAUCUGAGUUUUUGUAUGUGCAUUCUGUGCUUGUAUGGUGUACGAAGAAGAUCAAACUUGAUUAUUUAGA